CCUACGGGAGGCAGCAGUGGGGGAUAUUGGACAAUGGGGGGAACCCUGAUCCAGCGACGCCGCGUGAGUGAAGAAGUAUUUCGGUAUGUAAAGCUCUGUCAGCAGGGAAGAAAGAAAUGACGGUACCUGACCAAGAAGCCCCGGCUAACUACGUGCCAGCAGCCGCGGUAAUACGUAGGGGGCAAGCGUUAUCCGGACUUACUGGGUGUAAAGGGAGCGUAGACGGUUAAGUAAGUCUGGAGUGAACGGCCGGGGCGCAACCCCGGGACUGCUCUGGAAACUAUUGAACUUGAGUGCAGGAGAGGUAAGCGGAAUUCCUAGUGUAGCGGUGAAAUGCGUAGAUAUUAGGAGGAACACCAGUGGCGAAGGCGGCUUACUGGACUGUAACUGACGUUGAGGCUCGAAAGCGUGGGGAGCAAACAGGAUUAGAUACCCUUGUAGUC
rnacentral:rRNA from 1 species